UACGUAGGCAGCGAGCGUUGUUCGGAAUUACUGGGCGUAAAGAGUGUGUAGGCGGUGUUCCAAGUUCGGUGUGAAAUCUCCCGCUUAACUGGGAGGGUGCGCCGAAAACUGGAAUGCUCGAGCGUGGGAGAGGAAAGCGGAAGUUCCUGGUGUAGCGGUGAAAUGCGUAGAUAUCAGGAGGAACACCAGCGGUGUAGACGGCUUUCUGGACCAUUGCUGACGCUGAGACACGAAAGCGUGGGGAGCAAACAGG
rnacentral:rRNA from 1 species